rnacentral:rRNA from 1 species
GAUGAACGCUGACAGAAUGCUUAACACAUGCAAGUCAACUUGAAUUUGGGUUUUUAACUUAGGUUUGGGUGGCGGACGGGUGAGUAACGCGUAAAGAACUUGCCUCACAGCUAGGGACAACAUUUGGAAACGAAUGCUAAUACCUAAUAUUAUGAUAAUAGGGCAUCCUAUAAUUAUGAAAGCUAUAAGCGCUGUGAGAGAGCUUUGCAUCCCAUUAGCUAGUUGGAGAGGUAACGGCUCACCAAGGCGAUGAUGGGUAGCCGGCCUGAGAGGGUGAUCGGCCACAAGGGGACUGAGACACGGCCCUUACUCCUACGGGAGGCAGCAGUGGGGAAUAUUGGACAAUGGACCAAGAGUCUGAUCCAGCAAUUCUGUGUGCACGAUGAAGUUUUUCGGAAUGUAAAGUGCUUUCAGUUGGGAAGAAAGAAAUGACGGUACCAACAGAAGAAGUGACGGCUAAAUACGUG